CAGUACCAUUUUGUCGGUUCGUCCUCCACGAUAGAGAGAGACAGGCAGCGACCUUACUCGUCUUCUCGUACUCCGUCCAUCUCCCCCGUACGGACCUCACCCAACAAUCGAUCAGCGAGCGCUCCCGCUUCCCCCAGAGAGAUGAUGGCGUUGAAGGAGCGGAAGGCGGACUACGAGUCAACCGGCAAUGCCAGUUACCAUAGCAACAAGGGCGAGCACACAUCCCGGAAGGACGCCAUGACGGGUCAAAUCUCCGGUGGCUCUUCACACUACACCGAGGAGCGUACGUGUCCCCGACAGACGACCUGAAGUAUAACCAGGUGUCUUCCCAAGGCUUACCUUCAGAACCCUACCCUCCUUUCCAGAACCCUCCGCCACCCGACAGCGUCAACUACGAGGAUCAGGCCUUUUACGAGAACCAGGUCCACGCGGGAGGGCGCCCCCCGCAGGCCGACCUCAACAUGCACCUGCAGGGCCUCAAAUCCACCGGCAACUACGUGGACUUCUACUCAGCCUCGCGGCCCUACAGCGAGUUAAACUACGAGACCAGCCACUACCCGGCCUCACCGGACUCCUGGGUCUAAGAGGGGGAUGAAGGAGGAGGAGGAGGAGGAGGAGAGGAUGGAAUGGAGGAAGGAUCAUGGGAUUGUGGAAAAGGUGGAUGAGAGAAGAUGAAGGGACACUAUUUCUCUCCCUCCCAUCCUCCCUUGUAGCUCCUGAGUAGCAUCGUAGGUAGCAGGACAGAAGGACAGAGGAGAGGGAGGACGGACGGAGAAGCGCAACAUCUGAACCUUCAGGAGGACGAAGACGGGAGGAGCAGCCACGCAUGUGCAUGCACACCACCAACGAAAACCUGACAGACACAUUUCCUUUUUGUGUUUAGUUCGUGAUCAACAGCUGCUGCGGGAUUUUCGACGUGAACGAAGAAGACGCUCCUGCACCGAGAGAGAGAGAGACCAGAGAGAGAGAGAGAGAGAGAGAGAGAGAGAGAUGGAAACCGAGACGCAGAAGGACAAUGAAAGACGGACACGGAUCAGCAAAGAGAAGGUUUAGUUUAAUGGAUUGGAAAGUGUGGGAGAUGUCCCCGGGAGAAACCUGUAAAUAUGUGGUAUACUGUAGUAAACAUGGCUUUUAGUAACGUGAAGCACAAGAAACCGAGCUGUAGGACACGUAGGACGUCUGUCUCACAAACUUUUCUUUCUCUCUUUGGCUUCAGCGUGACGUAUCCUCCUCUGGGCAAAGAAACGCUUGUGGACUUUGUCAUUUGUAACAGGUUUUCCCUUUUUUUUUUUUUUUUUUUGUGUCUUUUUUCUUCUUUUUUGUGUUUCUACUUUUUUAAUUCUGGUUGUAUAGUAUUUGACGUACACUGUACAUUAACGGACAUGCGUUGUCUACUGUACGUUGCACUAUUUUACUGUGUCAUGUCAAGGCCUUCGCCGUCGCUCAGCCACACUUCUUUCACUAAACUAGCUCACGCCAGAUCUGCAACUCAGACCUUCAGAAUCUCAUAUCGCAAGCCACAGACAGAUUCCGACACGUUGCUAACGCGAAAAACAGUGGACUUAGCGUCAAUUUUCGGUAGGUCAAGGUGCUCCUUUUACUGCCCUACACAUAUAGACGGUCCAGCUGCCAUGAACGACCGAACAGAAGCUCGAACAGUUUUGCGGAGUAGCAGCAGCAGCAGCGUCAGCUAAGCCUUUCUUGUAACUUUUUUUUGAGGCGAUAGCUUUGUUUUUUUUCGGUCUUUCCACAUUAACGCCACAAAACCCCCCUCCUUUUGUUUCCACGAGCCCUUCCUUGGAGUGAACUGUGCUCUUGUGUAAAUAACUGUGCCAAA